rnacentral:rRNA from 1 species
AUGUCGGCGGUGGUGGAGGGCGAGGGGCGGUGCAGCAAGCCCACGGUGGAGGUCGGGGUGGCGCACGUCGGGUGUGCGGAAGACGCGGCGGCGUUCGUGGCGCUGGCGGCGGCAGUGGACCUGAGCAUGGACGCGUGCAGGCUCUUCUCGCACAAGCUCAGGAAGGAGCUCUCGCACCUGCGGUCGGACGUCCUCCGGCGACCGCCGGCGGCCGGCAAACAUCUCAUUCCGACGAGCAAACUGUACAAAGUAGAGCCGAUAAUCUAG